UAGGUCAAGUUAAAUUAGGUCAGGCCAGGUUAAGUUAGGUAAGGUCAGGUUAAGUUAGGUCAGGUUUGGUUCGGUCAGGUUAAGUUAGGUCAGGUCAAGUUAGGUCAGGUUAAGUUAGGUCAGGUUAAGUUAGGUCAGGUUAAGUUAGGUCAGGUCAGGUUAAGUUAGGUCAGGUCAGGUUAAGUUAGGUCAGGUUAAGUUAGGUCAGGUUAAGUUAGGUCAGGUUAAGUUAGGUCAGG